UCCGGGGUAGUUCAGUGGAAGAAUGCCUGGCUUUUACCGGGUGGGCGCCGGUUCGAUUCCGGCCCCCGGACCCA
rnacentral:tRNA from 1 species